UACGGAGGGGACUAGCGUUGUUCGGAAUUACUGGGCGUAAAGCGCACGUAGGCGGAUUUGUAAGUCAGGGGUGAAAUCCCGGGGCUCAACCUCGGAACUGCCUUUGAUACUGCAAAUCUCGAGUCCGGAAGAGGUGAGUGGAAUUCCUAGUGUAGAGGUGAAAUUCGUAGAUAUUAGGAAGAACACCAGUGGCGAAGGCGGCUUACUGGUCCGGCACUGACGCUGAGACGCGAAAGCGGUGGGGAGCGAACAGG
rnacentral:rRNA from 1 species